rnacentral:rRNA from 1 species
UCAAAAACAUGGCCUAUUGAUUUUAAUUUUAGGUUUAGCCUGCCCCCUGAAUUUUUAAAUGGCCGCGGUAUUUUGACCGUGCUAAGGUAGCAUAAUCAUUAGUUUCUUAAUUAGAAGCUGGAAUGAAUGGUUGGAUGAAAAAAGUUCUGUCUCUAUUUAAUUUUAUUAAAAAUUUAUUUUUUAGUAAAAAAGCUAAAAUUACUUUGAAAGACGAGAAGACCCUAUAGAGUUUUAUAUAUAAUAUUUUAAUAUUUAUUAGAAUAUAAAUUUUUAAUUUUAUAUUAUAUUUAAUUGGGGUGAUUGAAAAAUUAAGCUAACUUUUUCUUUUUUUUACAUUGAUUUAUGAAUUAUUGAUCCAUUUAUUAUGAUUAUAAGAUAAAAUUACCUUAGGGAUAACAGCGUAAUAUUUUCAGAGAGUUCUUAUCGAAGAAAAAGAUUGCGACCUCGAUGUUGGAUUAAAAUUUAUUUUUGGUGUAGAAGCUAAGAAUGUAGGUCUGUUCGACCUUUAAAAUUUUACAUGAUCUGA